rnacentral:rRNA from 1 species
GGAUUGAGAGCUUGCUCUCAAGAAGUUAGCGGCGGACGGGUGAGUAACACGUGGGUAACCUGCCCAUAAGACUGGGAUAACUCCGGGAAACCGGGGCUAAUACCGGAUAACAUUUUGAACUGCAUGGUUCGAAAUUGAAAGGCGGCUUCGGCUGUCACUUAUGGAUGGACCCGCGUCGCAUUAGCUAGUUGGUGAGGUAACGGCUCACCAAGGCAACGAUGCGUAGCCGACCUGAGAGGGUGAUCGGCCACACUGGGACUGAGACACGGCCCAGACUCCUACGGGAGGCAGCAGUAGGGAAUCUUCCGCAAUGGACGAAAGUCUGACGGAGCAACGCCGCGUGAGUGAUGAAGGCUUUCGGGUCGUAAAACUCUGUUGUUAGGGAAGAACAAGUGCUAGUUGAAUAAGCUGGCACCUUGACGGUACCUAACCAGAAAGCCACGGCUAACUACGUGCCAGCAGCCGCGGUAAUACGUAGGUGGCAAGCGUUAUCCGGAAUUAUUGGGCGUAAAGCGCGCGCAGGUGGUUUCUUAAGUCUGAUGUGAAAGCCCACGGCUCAACCGUGGAGGGUCAUUGGAAACUGGGAGACUUGAGUGCAGAAGAGGAAAGUGGAAUUCCAUGUGUAGCGGUGAAAUGCGUAGAGAUAUGGAGGAACACCAGUGGCGAAGGCGACUUUCUGGUCUGUAACUGACACUGAGGCGCGAAAGCGUGGGGAGCAAACAG